GGCUAACCUCAUCAUCUAUUUUUAGCCAGUGUGAAGAAAGAAAACAUCAGCGUUUGGAACGACAUUAGGAGCAUCUUCUCUGAUCUGAGGUUUCCGAUUCAUCAUUUUUAACAGUAAAUUUUCCCCUGCUGCAGUGCAUGCUGGUAAUGAAGAGGGCUCGAUGGCUUCCACAUGCUCAAGCCAAUUACGGUCCUGCUGUCCAAGAACUGUUUGCCUGGCAAUAGCAGAUGUGUCUUCUCUGGUUGUUAAUGGCUUUUAUUUGCUUUGUUAUGUAGCAGAACACUUUCUUGAGAAGGUGCCAAAGGAUGAUAAAUCAUUUAGGAUACAUAAAACCGUGGCGUCAUCUCUGUUGUAAGAAGGUACAUUUAAAUCAUGCUUUUUAACUCUCCUCCUCACAAAACGUCCAUCCAUUUUGCUUUUUAGUGACCACAGCUCCCAGCUUCUCUCUACAUCACAACGUAAUUCCCUUUCUCAUGACGGC
ensembl:lncRNA